CCUACGGGGGGCAGCAGUGGGGAAUAUUGCGCAAUGGGGGAAACCCUGACGCAGCAACGCCGCGUGAGUGAGGAAGUAUCUCGGUAUGUAAAGCUCUAUCAGCGGGGAAGAAAGAGGACGGUACCCGACUAAGAAGCCCCGGCUAACUACGUGCCAGCAGCCGCGGUAAUACGUAGGGGGCAAGCGUUAUCCGGAUUCAUUGGGCGUAAAGCGCGCGUAGGCGGUCAUGUAAGCGGGACCUCAAAUCUUGGGGCUCAACCUCAAGCCGGGUUCCGAACUACAUGACUCGAGUGUGGUAGGGGAGG
rnacentral:rRNA from 1 species